UUAGAAACUGAAAACAUCAACCUACUUUUAAAAUUCAGAGCAAGGAACAAGUACAUUUUAAAAUGCAAGUUUUCAAAAAUAUACAUGUUUUUUAAAAAUACAUAAAUUUUUUAAAUACGUAAUUUAAUUCCACAUUAAAGCCAGGCUAUCUCAGUGGGAAGCUGGAGAAGUCAGUGGAAACCCUGAGGUCCUGAGUCUUGCAUAAAGGGGUGACAGAGAUUUGGAUGAGAAGCAGUAUCCACAGCUUGAGACAUAUGACCUCUACCCUCUCAAGUGUUUAACACGCCACUCCUCACAGCUCUUUGUUCAAAUCCUUAACCUUGGAGGGCCACUACUGGGAGGAGGCAGUCAAGCUCCAGGCUGGAUGAAGGUGAACCCUGGACCGAGAAGCCUGACGCAGCUGGAGAGUUUACACAAGCCCUGCUGGGAUGGUUCCCCCACAUACACAAGCACACUCAGCACAUGUACAGGGGCAGGAAACUCCUGAGCGAGGCUCCUGCAGGGCUGUGGUGAGUGGCCUAGAAGAUUCCAGCUCUCUGCAGGAGAUCCACAUCCUCUCCUAGGCUGUCACUCAAUCUCGGGGAAAUAUUGUUUCAAGGAAGAGAAACAAGGGCCCCAUUGUGUGGGAGCAGCAGGCAAGUCCUCCUUCCCAAUCUAGGCCUUUUCUCCCUCUGAGCAGGCUCAAUAAUGCUGCCCACAUGCUGUUUCCUGAUGGACAGUCUCAAGGUCAGACCCUAGCCAUACUGACAGCGCAGAGAAGUGACCCCAGCUCAUGGGGUAGAUGUUCAAGGAACACCCAUAGAGCUAGUGUCCUUUUUUCUGCUCAACUAAUCCACCAAAGAUGACUAGGCCUGCUCUCUCUCACUCUUCUCAACCUCAGCUCAAAUCCCAAACCUCUCCACCCCACUGCCUUAACAACCUCCUACGGGCCGAUGCCUCCAGGGCUGGUCACUCAGCUGGGGCAGGUGGCUGCCAAGCCUUGAGUUUGUCCCUGAAGUGGAGACUGGGGAGCUGUGUGCCCAGCCUCUGCUUUACUUUGGGUUUCCUUUGUAGGCCCCUGCCUCUCUCUCCUGAUAAGGCCUUAAAAGGUAAACACACAAAGAUCCCCUGCCCAUAAUUACUGGCCUGGCUUCCUGAGGAACACUUGAACAAAUCAGCCCAUGGAAGGGGCAGGGACCUCAGUCAGCAGAUGUCCUGGCCUUUAUUCCUCUGGGCUGGAUCCUCUGAACUGUCUUUAGGGUGGUCAGUUUGCUGCCCAAAGACCGCCUACAUUCUAUUACAUCCUAGAAUGUCCUAGAAUCUUUUAGCAUCUGGUGUACCAUUCCAUAGUUCUAGUAUUUAUAUCAUUCCAGAACUUACUAGAGUUGGGAUGAAAAAGGCAGUGGAGGCCAUUAUAUCUGAUGUGCCCAAUCCCCCAGGGGCUUCUCUAGAAGCUCCACACCCAGACCCACUUUCCAGAGGCUUCACAACCUGGCCGGGCAGCAUGUGUCUGGUGUUCUUUUGAGUUGAGCACUUCCUGAGGAACUGUGAGAGGGCCACUGGGAGGUGGCUAUUCUCCAACCAUAUGCUAUGAGAAACUCACUUGGCAAUAGCAGCACCAACUGGCUGAGAGGGGUUCCAUAGGUUUUCCGUUUGUGGUGGGGGACAAGAGGCUUUGACCAUAAAAACCCUCUGGUGGCCCAGCGGUUUAGGGCCGCCUUAAGCUGAGGGCGUGAUCCUGGAGACCCAGGAUCCAGUCCCACGUCAGGCUCCAUGCAGGGAGCCUGCUUCUCCCUCUGC
rnacentral:lncRNA from 1 species